AAGUAGGGCGGGACACGAGAAAUCCUGUUUGAAGAUGGGGGGACCAUCCUCCAAGGCUAAAUACUCCUGAUUGACCGAUAGUGAACCAGUACUGUGAAGGAAAGGCGAAAAGAACCCCAGUGAGGGGAGUGAAAUAGAACCUGAAACCGUGUACGUACAAGCAGUGGGAGCCCGAAAGGGUGACUGCGUACCUUUUGUAUAAUGGGUCAGCGACUUAUAUUUUGUAGCGAGGUUAACUGAAUAAGGGAGCCGAAGGGAAACCGAGUCUUAACUGGGCGGAUAGUUGCAAGGUAUAGACCCGAAACCCGGUGAUCUAGCCAUGGGCAGGUUGAAGGUUGGGUAACACUAACUGGAGGACCGAACCGACUAAUGUUGAAAAAUUAGCGGAUGACUUGUGGCUGGGGGUGAAAGGCCAAUCAAACCGGGAGAUAGCUGGUUCUCCCCGAAAUCUAUUUAGGUAGAGCCUUAUGUGAAUACCUUCGGGGGUAGAGCACUGUUUCGGCUAGGGGUCCAUCCCGGAUUACCAACCCGAUGCAAACUGCGAAUACCGAAGAGUAAUGCAUAGGAGACACACAGUGGGUGCUAACGUCCAUCGUGGAGAGGGAAACAACCCAGACCGCCAGCUAAGGUCCCAAAGUCUAUAUUAAGUGGGAAACGAAGUGGGAAGGCUUAGACAGCUAGGAUGUUGGCUUAGAAGCAGCCACCAUUUAAAGAAAGCGUAAUAGCUCACUAGUCGAGUCGGCCUGCGCGGAAGAUGUAACGGGGCUAAAAUAUAGCACCGAAGCUGCGGCAUCAGGCGUAUCACAAAUACGCCUUCGAUUAACAACAUCGAAUGAAGUGAAACGGAAUAAGAUGUUGGUCAAGCACCCAACACGUUGAGUUGGCAUAAAGUGCGGAUAGAAAUCAGAGGAAUAUUUGUGAUACGCCUGUUGGGUAGGGGAGCGUUGUGUAAGUCGAUGAAGGUGUAUUGAGAAGUAUGCUGGAGAUAUCACAAGUGCGAAUGCUGACAUAAGUAACGAUAAAACGAGUGAAAAACUCGUUCGCCGGAAGACCAAGGGUUCCUGUCCAACGUUAAUCGGGGCAGGGUGAGUCGGCCCCUAAGGCGAGGCUGAAAAGCGUAGUCGAUGGGAAACGGGUUAAUAUUCCCGUACUUGGUAAAGCUGCGAUGUGGGGACGGAGAAGGUUAGGUUAGCAGACUGUUGGAUGUCUGUUUAAGUUGGUAGGUGGGAAGUUUAGGCAAAUCCGGACUUCCAUAACACUGAGAGAUGAUGACGAGUUUCUACGGAAAUGAAGUAACUGAUACCACGCUUCCAGGAAAAGCCACUAAGCGAAAGGCUUUACUAAACCGUACUGAAAACCGACACAGGUGGUCAGGUAGAGAAUACUCAGGCGCUUGAGAGAACUCGGGUGAAGGAACUAGGCAAAAUAGCACCGUAACUUCGGGAGAAGGUGCGCUGGCGUAGGUUGUAGGAGUAUACCUCCGAAGGCUGAACCAGUCGAAGAUACCAGCUGGCUGCAACUGUUUAUUAAAAACACAGCACUCUGCAAACACGAAAGUGGACGUAUAGGGUGUGAUGCCUGCCCGGUGCUGGAAGGUUAAUUGAUGGUGUUAUCGAAAGAGAAGCUCCUGAUCGAAGCCCCAGUAAACGGCGGCCGUAACUAUAACGGUCCUAAGGUAGCGAAAUUCCUUGUCGGGUAAGUUCCGACCUGCACGAAUGGCAUAAUGAUGGCCAGGCUGUCUCCACCCGAGACUCAGUGAAAUUGAAAUCGCCGUGAAGAUGCGGUGUACCCGCGGCUAGACGGAAAGACCCCGUGAACCUUUACUAUAGCUUGACACUGAACAUUGAAUUUUGAUGUGUAGGAUAGGUGGGAG
rnacentral:rRNA from 1 species